GACGAACGCUGGCGGCGUGCUUAACACAUGCAAGUCGAACGGAAAGGCCCUUCCUUUGUUGUGUUCGCGAGUUGCGAACGUGUGAGUAACACGAGAGUAACGUGCCCGUGACUUUGGGAUAAUGGCAGUAAACUUGGGCUAAUACCUGAUAUGAGCGCCUGCUGCAUGGGGGGGGUUGGGAAGUUUCGGCGGUUGGUGAUGGACUCGGGGCUGAGCGGCUUGUUGGUGGGGUAGUGGCUUGCGAAGUCUUUGACUGGUAGCGGGCCUGGUAGGGUGGCCGGACACACUGGGCCUGAUAUACCGCCCAGCAUCCUACGGGAGGAAGCAGUGGGGAAUGUUGCACAGUGGGCGGGAGGCUGAUGCAGCAACGACGGGUGCGGGAUGAUGGCCUUCGGUUUGUAGCGCGCUUGCCGCUGGGAUGGAGCGUGAGUGACGGUAAUGGGUGAAGAAGCACCGGCUAACUACGUG
rnacentral:rRNA from 1 species